rnacentral:rRNA from 1 species
UUAAGCGACUAAGCGUACACGGUGGAUGCCCUGGCAGUCAGAGGCGAUGAAGGACGUGCUAAUCUGCGAUAAGCGUCGGUAAGGUGAUAUGAACCGUUAUAACCGGCGAUUUCCGAAUGGGGAAACCCAGUGUGUUUCGACACACUAUCAUUAACUGAAUCCAUAGGUUAAUGAGGCGAACCGGGGGAACUGAAACAUCUAAGUACCCCGAGGAAAAGAAAUCAACCGAGAUUCCCCCAGUAGCGGCGAGCGAACGGGGAGCAGCCCAGAGCCUGAAUCAGUGUGUGUGUUAGUGGAAGCGUCUGGAAAGGCGCGCGAUACAGGGUGACAGCCCCGUACACAAAAAUGCACAUAUUGUGAGCUCGAUGAGUAGGGCGGGACACGUGGUAUCCUGUCUGAAUAUGGGGGGACCAUCCUCCAAGGCUAAAUACUCCUGACUGACCGAUAGUGAACCAGUACCGUGAGGGAAAGGCGAAAAGAACCCCGGCGAGGGGAGUGAAAAAGAACCUGAAACCGUGUACGUACAAGCAGUGGGAGCACGCUUAGGCGUGUGACUGCGUACCUUUUGUAUAAUGGGUCAGCGACUUAUAUUCUGUAGCAAGGUUAACCGAAUAGGGGAGCCGAAGGGAAACCGAGUCUUAACUGGGCGUUAAGUUGCAGGGUAUAGACCCGAAACCCGGUGAUCUAGCCAUGGGCAGGUUGAAGGUUGGGUAACACUAACUGGAGGACCGAACCGACUAAUGUUGAAAAAUUAGCGGAUGACUUGUGGCUGGGGGUGAAAGGCCAAUCAAACCGGGAGAUAGCUGGUUCUCCCCGAAAGCUAUUUAGGUAGCGCCUCGUGAACUCAUCUCCGGGGGUAGAGCACUGUUUCGGCAAGGGGGUCAUCCCGACUUACCAACCCGAUGCAAACUGCGAAUACCGGAGAAUGUUAUCACGGGAGACACACGGCGGGUGCUAACGUCCGUCGUGAAGAGGGAAACAACCCAGACCGCCAGCUAAGGUCCCAAAGUCAUGGUUAAGUGGGAAACGAUGUGGGAAGGCCCAGACAGCCAGGAUGUUGGCUUAGAAGCAGCCAUCAUUUAAAGAAAGCGUAAUAGCUCACUGGUCGAGUCGGCCUGCGCGGAAGAUGUAACGGGGCUAAACCAUGCACCGAAGCUGCGGCAGCGACACUAUGUGUUGUUGGGUAGGGGAGCGUUCUGUAAGCCUGUGAAGGUGUGCUGUGAGGCAUGCUGGAGGUAUCAGAAGUGCGAAUGCUGACAUAAGUAACGAUAAAGCGGGUGAAAAGCCCGCUCGCCGGAAGACCAAGGGUUCCUGUCCAACGUUAAUCGGGGCAGGGUGAGUCGACCCCUAAGGCGAGGCCGAAAGGCGUAGUCGAUGGGAAACAGGUUAAUAUUCCUGUACUUGGUGUUACUGCGAAGGGGGGACGGAGAAGGCUAUGUUGGCCGGGCGACGGUUGUCCCGGUUUAAGCGUGUAGGCUGGUUUUCCAGGCAAAUCCGGAAAAUCAAGGCUGAGGCGUGAUGACGAGGCACUACGGUGCUGAAGCAACAAAUGCCCUGCUUCCAGGAAAAGCCUCUAAGCAUCAGGUAACAUCAAAUCGUACCCCAAACCGACACAGGUGGUCAGGUAGAGAAUACCAAGGCGCUUGAGAGAACUCGGGUGAAGGAACUAGGCAAAAUGGUGCCGUAACUUCGGGAGAAGGCACGCUGAUAUGUAGGUGAAGCGACUUGCUCGUGGAGCUGAAAUCAGUCGAAGAUACCAGCUGGCUGCAACUGUUUAUUAAAAACACAGCACUGUGCAAACACGAAAGUGGACGUAUACGGUGUGACGCCUGCCCGGUGCCGGAAGGUUAAUUGAUGGGGUUAGCGGUAACGCGAAGCUCUUGAUCGAAGCCCCGGUAAACGGCGGCCGUAACUAUAACGGUCCUAAGGUAGCGAAAUUCCUUGUCGGGU